rnacentral:rRNA from 1 species
UACGUAGGGGGCAAGCGUUGUCCGGAUUUACUGGGUGUAAAGGGUGCUCAGGCGGGUUUGUAAGUCAGUGGUGAAAUCCCGGAGCUUAACUCCGGAACUGCCAUUGAUACUGCAAGCCUAGAGAUCGGGAGAGGUUGAUGGAAUAUCUGGUGUAGCAGUGAAAUGCGUAGAUAUCAGAUAGAACACCAAUGGCGAAGGCAGUCAACUGGCCCGAUUCUGACGCUAAAGCACGAAAGUGUGGGUAGCAAACAGGAUUAGAAACCCUUGUAGUCC